rnacentral:rRNA from 1 species
CAGCAGCCGCGGGAAUACGAAGGGGGCUAGCGUUGUUCGGAAUCACUGGGCGUAAAGGGUGCGUAGGCGGGAUCUUAAGUCAGGGGUGAAAUCCCGAGGCUCAACCUCGGAACUGCCUUUGAUACUGGGGUCCUUGAGUCCGGAAGAGGUGAGUGGAACUGCGAGUGUAGAGGUGAAAUUCGUAGAUAUUCGCAAGAACACUGGUGGCGAAGGCGGCUCACUGGUCCGGAACUGACGCUGAGGCACGACAGCGUGGGGAGCAAACAGGAUUAGAUACCCGUGUAGUCCCUGUCUCUUAUAC